rnacentral:rRNA from 1 species
UGCAGUCGUACGAAGAAGUUUUCCACUCAAGUGGCGGACGGGUGAGUAACACGUCAAGAAUUUGCCUUUAGGAGGGGGAUAACAUUUGGAAACGAAUGCUAAUACCCCAUAUGCUUUUAAGUGAAAUGGUAUUUUAUAUUAGCUUUUAUGUUAAUAUGUUAAUCUAUAAUUUUAAAUAUUAUUUAUAACCGCCUAAAGAGAAGCUUGCGGCUGAUUAGCUUGUUGGUAAGGUAAUGGCUUACCAAGGCGACGAUCAGUAUCUGGUUUGAGAGGAUGAUCAGACACACUGGAACUGAGACACGGUCCAGACUCCUACGGGAGGCAGCAGUGGGGAAUUUUCCGCAAUGGGCGAAAGCCUGACGGAGCAAUACCGCGUGAGGGAUGACUGCCUAUGGGUUGUAAACCUCUUUUUUCAGGGAGGAAUAAAUGACGUUACCUGAAGAAUAAGCAUCGGCUAACUCCGUGCCAGCAGCCGCGGUAAGACGGAGGAUGCAAGUGUUAUCUGGAAUCACUGGGCGUAAAGCGUCUGUAGGUGGUUUAAUAAGUCAACUGUUAAAUCUUGAGGCUCAACCUCAAAACUGCAGUCGAAACUAUUAGGACUAGAGUAUAGUAGGGGUAAAGGGAAUUUCCAGUGGAGCGGUGAAAUGCGUAGAGA